UUGCAGAAUUCCGUGAACCAUCAAAUCUUUGAACGCAUAUUGCGCCCAAGGCUUCGGCCGAGAGCAUGUCUGCCUCAGCGUCGGGUUA
rnacentral:rRNA from 1 species